GCAAAACUUCAUCUAUUUUAAAAAUUAAGAAAGAAUUAGCUGGGCAUGGUUGCAUGUGCUUGUCCUAGGCACUUGGGGGGCUUAGGUGGGAGGGUUGCUUGAGGCCAGGAUAUCAAGGUUGGAGUGAGCCCUGAUGGGGGCCAGGCAGAGCAAGACCCUGUAAAAGAAACAGAAAGAAAGAAAGAAGGAAGGAAGGAAGGAAGGAAGGAAGGAAAGGAAGGAAGGUAGGAAGGAAAAAUAAAUGGGGGAAGAAAAGGAGGGAAAGAAAGGAAGAAAAGAAGGAAACUGGUGGCACAGUCAUUCAGCUAUUCAGGGCAUAUCAUCAGUUUGUACUUGAUCUUACCCUGAGACUGACCCCUGGAGCAUCUGUGGAAGAAGGGCUGACAUCCUGUUAAUUUUUAGGCACUGCUCUCAAUCUGUUGGAUCCACAAUGUUUUUUAAUUCAAGAACCACCUGAGUUACCAUUACAAUUUGUUUUGGGGGACAAUGAAAUAUGUAGACUCAGCCAGAAAGAAGGGGGUUAGGGGACUCUUAGCUGUGGGUAUGUGGAUAAAGUUAAGAAGGUGAACUGAGAAAUCAAACAAUUGAGAACGACAGAUGCCAGACUCAAGAGCAUGAAUUUAUCCUAUAGGCCAUGAGGAGCCAAUGAAGAUUGCCAUGUAGUGUAAUGACAUAGGGGAAGAAAGAUUAUACAAUAUAGAUUUAGAUUUGAUCCAUGUGUG
rnacentral:lncRNA from 1 species